rnacentral:rRNA from 1 species
GACGAACGCUGGCGGCGUGCCUAAUACAUGCAAGUCGAGCGGACCGGAUUGGGGCUUGCCUGGAUUCGGUCAGCGGCGGACGGGUGAGUAACACGUGGGCAACCUGCCCGCCAGACGGGGAUAACUCCGGGAAACCGGCGCUAAUACCGGAUAACACCGAAGACCGCGUGGUCGUCGGGUGAAAGGCGGCCUUUGGGCUGUCACUCGCGGAUGGGCCCGCGGCGCAUUAGCUAGUUGGUGAGGUAACGGCUCACCUAGGGGACGAUGCGUAGGCCGCCGGGGAUGGUGAGCGGCCGCCCUGGGACUGAGACCGGGCCCAUACGGCCUCGGGAGGCAGCAGGAGUGAAUCUUCCGGCAUGGGCGAAAGCCUGACCGAGCGACGCCGCGGCAGGAUAGAAGGCCGCCGGGUCGUAGAGCUCUGUUGUGAGGGAGGAAGGGGCGUCGUUCGAAGAGGGCGGCGCGGUGACGGUACCUCACGAGAAAGCCCCGGCUAACUACGUG